CAACGAGUCGAGUUGUUUGGGAAUGCAGCUCUAAAUGGGUGGUAAAUUUCAUCUAAAGCUAAAUAUUGGCCAGAGACCGAUAGCGCACAAGUAGAGUGAUCGAAAGAUGAAAAGCACUUUGGAAAGAGAGUUAAACAGUACGUGAAAUUGUUGAAAGGGAAGCGCUGGCAACCAGACUUGGGCGCUGUUGAUCCGCUAGGGUUCUCUCUAGGGCACUCGGCAGCGCGCAGGCCAGCAUCGGUUUGGGGGGUUGGAGAAUGGCUGGUGGAAUGUGGCUGUCUUCGGGCAGUGUUAUAGCCACCGGUGGCAUGCAGCCUCCCCGGACCGAGGACCGCGCUUCGGCUAGGAUGCUGGCGUAAUGGUUGUCAGCGACCCGUCUUGAAACACGGACCAAGGAGUCUAACAUCUAUGCGAGUGUUUGGGUGUUAAACCCAUACGCGGAAUGAAAGUGAACGUAGGUGAGAACCCGUAAGGGUGCAUCAUCGACCGAUCCUGAUGUCUUCGGAUGGAUUUGAGUAAGAGCAUAGCUGUUGGGACCCGAAAGAUGGUGAACUAUGCCUGAAUAGGGUGAAGCCAGAGGA
rnacentral:rRNA from 1 species